rnacentral:lncRNA from 1 species
UGUUGAGUGGCCUAGUGGAGAGAUGGUAGUUGCAUAAUAUUAGGUGGGGAGUGUUCAAUACUCAUGUGUGGUUGUUUUUGGCAUUUUAUUUCUUUUAGCUAUAUUAUUUUUCUUUUAGCAUUUUUCAUUUCUUUUUAUGUUUAUGCCUUUAUUACACUCAUAUGUUCAUUUUGUUAAUAAUGUAAAGUUGUUGUAUUUUAAUUUAAUUCAAGACCAUUUUAAAAAACUAUAAAAAUAAUAUUUUUCUCGAUUUAAUAUCGAGCCCAUCUUUCGUACCCUUGUAAGUCGAUUGCUUUUUAAGCAUCGCCAUCAAUCUCACAUAGCUUACUCUUGGGCUUUCUUACAAUGAGUCGGUUCCCUUGCACUUACACUCAUACAUUGUUUAUUGUUUCAUUAUUUCAUUCUUUGAUUAUUUGAUUUGAUUAUAUACUUGUUUAUAUCUUA